rnacentral:lncRNA from 1 species
ACUCCAACUAGUUUGACUAAUUCAAAAUGUAAUUAAAACAUAAAGCUACAUAUGGAAAUAUAAAAUAAACAAAACAAGAAAUAUAUGGAAGUAUCAUUCCAUCUCCCUUAAAGACACACUUGUCCUCAAUUGUGAACUUUGACAUCAACUUUUCAUCUUUUUUCAACGCUCCAAUCUAUGAUUAAGUACAAUGAAAGCUUGAUCUGUUUUGAUUAAGCAUCUUAUUAAAAAUUAGUAGAAUAGGAGAGCAUGCAUCAUCACUCGAUGAUGAGAAGAAAAAAAAAGGAAGUAAAGAGACCAAGACUAUCCUUCUGCCCCUAUUGAUUCUUUAUUUCAUAUGAUUUGAGCAUAAUGACAGCAAACAUAGGAAUAUCCAGAUGAAUGCCUCAAGAGUGGUCUGGUAGGUGGAGGGGCUAAUUAAGCUGAUGGCAAAUUGUGGAUUGAUGACAAAAGAGCAUUGGAAAAGGAUAUGCUAAUGUAACAGUAAAAUUUGGGAUUGGAAGGCUCAUGGCAGAAUGUUAUAUAUUCUCUCCCUAGACUAAAAAGUGGGUUAGACCUGAAAAGGGGGUGUAAAACUAAAUACAGAUGGAGGCUAUAAAUCCUCCCUUGGGCAAGCUGCAGGAGGGGCAUUGUUGAUAUUAUGAAGGAUGGCCUGUUGUUGCUUUCCAUGAAUUCUAUGGGGGCUGCAAUAGCUUUUCUGAAAGUUUAGACCAUUAAAGCACUACAUGUAGGGAUCAUCUUAUGCAAGCCGAAACAAAAAUGGAAGCAUUUUUAUUUGCUAUAGUAGAUAGGAGAACCAUAUAAACAUUAAUAAUGAAAAAUCCUGGAACUACAUACAGAAAAUAUUUUUCUUAUGUACUUCAUGUUGCAAAAG